rnacentral:rRNA from 2 species
UUGCGACCCCAGGUCAGGCGGGGCUACCCGCUGAGUUUAAGCAUAUCAAUA